rnacentral:rRNA from 1 species
GCGGGAUGCCUUCCAUGCAAGUCGAACGGCAGCGCGGACUUCGGUCUGGCGGCGAGUGGCGAGCGGGUGAGUAAUGUAUCGGAACGUGCCCAGUAGCGGGGGAUAACUACUCGAAAGAGUAGCUAAUACCGCAUACGCCCUACGGGGGAAAGGGGGGGAUCGCAAGACCUCUCACUAUUGGAGCGGCCGAUAUCGGAUUAGCUAGUUGGUGAGGUAAAGGCUCACCAAGGCGACGAUCCGUAGCUGGUUUGAGAGGACGACCAGCCACACUGGGACUGAGACACGGCCCAGACUCCUACGGGAGGCAGCAGUGGGGAAUUUUGGACAAUGGGGGAAACCCUGAUCCAGCCAUUCCGCGUGUGCGAUGAAGGCCUUCGGGUUGUAAAGCACUUUUGGCAGGAAAGAAAUCGCAUGGAUUAAUACUCUGUGUGGAUGACGGUACCUGCAGAAUAAGCACCGGCUAACUACGUGCCAGCGCCGCGGUAAUAAUCACUA